rnacentral:lncRNA from 1 species
UUUCUGUACAGUAAUUUAAAGCCAUGCAGUGGCUCUAAUAUUUUAUCAAUGUCCUACAAUGCAUCUGUGUACUUCAGUUUUGUAUAAAAAGGGCAGGGGGAAAAGCAUCAGAGAAGACUUCUUCACUAAAAAGAAGAGUUUGAUAUCAGACUUUUUUAUUCUAGUGAUUAGAUUUUGUAUUACAGCCUGCACCCUCCUGUUUAAGAAUCUGAAGACAGGCAUUUUCUGGUUUGUAUUGAGACACAGGAGUCUUGAAUAUCUCUUCAGCUGCUUCCUAAUGUUUGUUCCACAGGAAGGGAGUUAGUUGGUAGCACAAUGUGCUUUGUUGUAUCUGCAUCAGCAAAGCAGAUAAGCUCAGCCUCUCUUCAUCUGGAAAAGGAACAGAGGAGUAGCACCAGGAGACUGUGCAAUACUUCAGGAUAUUGUGAAGAUUUCAGGCAACAAGACGACUUUCAGUGCACUCUAGAGGUCUCUUGGAUUGCUCUUUCUAGCUGUAUCCAGGCAUUGCAGCACUCCAGCUGUGAGAGAGUAAUUUGCUUCUUAAUCAGAGAUUUCAAAAAUCAGGCUUCAUCUGCUGAAGAAUUCAAAGAUCUUGGAUUUGAGAGGCUAUUUAUGAACAUCAAACUGUGCUCCAUUUCUCCCUGGGGUAUCAUGCAGAUGUGCAACCACACAGCUGCAGCUCUUCAACACCAAGGGAAGUAUGAGCUAUCCCCAGACACCAGUGAAAAGCCAGGCACAUGCAGGCCACACAAGGUACACAGAGCCAUCCAAGAGUCACCACCACCUCCAGGGGAGAGGUUUUCUAUGCUCACUGUGGAACACUCUGAGAAAAUGGAAAUUCAGAUGUGCACAGGGUGCAAGUUGUUUGGCCAAGCUCAGAUUUGUGGAUCACAUCGGCGCUGGUGA